GAUGAACGCUAGCUACAGGCUUAACACAUGCAAGUCGAGGGGAAACGAUAUUGGAAGCUUGCUUCCGAUAGGCGUCGACCGGCGCACGGGUGAGUAACGCGUAUCCAACCUGCCCAUCACUUGGGGAUAACCUUGCGAAAGUAAGACUAAUACCCAAUGACGUCUCUAGAAGACAUCUGAAGGAGAUUAAAGAUUUAUCGGUGAUGGAUGGGGAUGCGUCUGAUUAGCUUGUUGGCGGGGUAACGGCCCACCAAGGCGACGAUCAGUAGGGGUUCUGAGAGGAAGGCCCCCCACAUUGGAACUGAGACACGGUCCAAACUCCUACGGGAGGCAGCAGUGGGGAAUAUUGCACAAUGGGGGAAACCCUGAUGCAGCGACGCCGCGUGGAGGAAGAAGGUCUUCGGAUUGUAAACUCCUGUUGUUGGGGAAGAUAAUGACGGUACCCAACAAGGAAGUGACGGCUAACUACGUG
rnacentral:rRNA from 1 species